UGAAUACGAGACGCUACGGCGUCGAAGCAGUCUAUGUCAUACUUCCAAGAAAAGCUCGCAAUGUCAUAAACAAAUAAUGCCUGUACCAUAACCGACACAGGUGGGUAGGUAGAGUAUACUAAGGGGCGCGAGAUAACUCUCUCUAAGGAACUCGGCAAAAUGACUCCGUAACUUCGGGAGAAGGAGUGCCUUAUUUAUAAGGUUGCAAUAACAAGAUCCAAGCAACUGUUUAUCAAAAACACAGGUCUCCGCUAAGUCGUAAGACGAUGUAUGGGGGCUGACGCCUGCCCAGUGCCAGAAGGUUAAAGAAGUUGGUUAGCAUUCGCGAAGCUGAUAACUGAAGCCCUGGUGAACGGCGGCCGUAACGAUAACGGUCCUAAGGUAGCGAAAUUCCUUGUCGGGUAAGUUCCGACCCGCACGAAAGGCGUAAUGAUUUGGAUACUGUCUCGGAGAGGGGCUCGGCGAAAUAGACUUGUCUGUGAAGAUGCGGACUACCUGCACCUGGACAGAAAGACCCUAUGAAGCUUUACUGUAACUUGAAAUUGAAAUUGGACUUUAUUUGCGCAGCAUAGGUGGGAGGCGUUGAGAGUAUUCUUGCGGGAAUAUUGGAGCCAUCAGUGAGAUACCACUCUUGUAAUGUUAGAUUUCUAACUUUGGAUCAUUAUCUGGUCAAAGAACAGUUUCAGGCGGGCAGUUUGACUGGGGCGGUCGCCUCCCAAAUGGUAACGGAGGCGUACAAAGGUUUCCUCUGAACGGGUAGAAAUCGUAUCUAGAGUGUAAAGGCAUAAGGAAGCUUGACUGUGAGACCUACAAGUCGAGCAGGGACGAAAGUCGGUCUUAGUGAUCUGACGGUGCUGAGUGGAAAGGCCGUCACUCAACGGAUAAAAGUUACUCUAAGGAUAACAGGCUGAUCUCCCCCAAGAGUUCACAUCGACGGGGAGGUUUGGCACCUCGAUGUCGGCUCAUCGCAUCCUGGGGCGGUAGUACGUCCCAAGGGUUGGGCUGUUCGCCCAUGAAAGCGGUACGCGAGCUGGGUUCAGAACGUCGUGAGACAGUUCGGUCCAUAUCCGGUGUAGGCGUUAGAAUAUUGAGAGGAGCCUUCUUUAGUACGAGAGGACCGAGAAGGACAUACCUCUGGUGUACCAGUUAUCGUGCCAACGGUAAACGCUGGGUAGCUAUGUAUGGAGAGGAUAACCGCUGAAAGCAUCUAAGUGGGAAGCCCACCUCAAGAUAAG
rnacentral:rRNA from 1 species